UUGCGGAAGAUGCGGUUAACGGAGCGAAAGCGACGUUCAACCUCAGAAGAAGCAGAGGGGGCUUAGUGGUGGGGUGACUGCGUACCUUUUGUAUAAUGGGUCAGCGACUUAUAUUCUGUAGCAAGGUUAACCGCAUAGGGGAGCCGAAGGGAAACCGAGUCUUAACCGGGCGUUAAGUUGCAGGGUAUAGACCCGAAACCCGGUGAUCUAGCCAUGGGCAGGUUGAAGGUUGGGUAACACUAACUGGAGGACCGAACCGACUAAUGUUGAAAAAUUAGCGGAUGACCUGUGGCUGGGGGUGAAAGGCCAAUCAAACCGGGAGAUAGCUGGUUCUCCCCGAAAGCUAUUUAGGUAGCGCCUCGUGAACUCAUCUCCGGGGGUAGAGCACUGUUUCGGCUAGGGGGCCAUCCCGGCUUACCAACCCGAUGCAAACUGCGAAUACCGGAGAAUGUUAUCACGGGAGACACACGGCGGGUGCUAACGUCCGUCGUGAAGAGGGAAACAACCCAGACCGCCAGCUAAGGUCCCAAAGUCAUGGUUAAGUGGGAAACGAUGUGGGAAGGCCCAGACAGCCAGGAUGUUGGCUUAGAAGCAGCCAUCAUUUAAAGAAAGCGUAAUAGCUCACUGGUCGAGUCGGCCUGCGCGGAAGAUGUAACGGGGCUAAACCAUGCACCGAAGCUGCGGCAGCGAACGUAUCACUUAAAACGAUUCAGAAGCUUACGAUUGACGGAGCGAAGCGACGUCAAAGCGUAUACAAAGUCGAGUCGGUUUAAGGAUACGUUCGUUGGGUAGGGGAGCGUUCUGUAAGCCGUUGAAGGUGUCCUGUGAGGGGUGCUGGAGGUAUCAGAAGUGCGAAUGCUGACAUAAGUAACGAUAAAGCGGGUGAAAAGCCCGCUCGCCGGAAGACCAAGGGUUCCUGUCCAACGUUAAUCGGGGCAGGGUGAGUCGACCCCUAAGGCGAGGCCGAAAGGCGUAGUCGAUGGGAAACGGGUUAAUAUUCCCGUACUUGGUGUUACUGCGAAGGGGGGACGGAGAAGGCUAUGUUGGCCGGGCGACGGUAGUCCCGGUUUAAGCGUGUAGGUGUGUGUUCCAGGCAAAUCCGGUUCACUUUAACACUGAGGCGUGACGACGAGGCACCACGGUGCUGAAGCAACAAAUGCCCUGCUUCCAGGAAAAGCCUCUAAGCAUCAGGUAACAUCAAAUCGUACCCCAAACCGACACAGGUGGUCAGGUAGAGAAUACCAAGGCGCUUGAGAGAACUCGGGUGAAGGAACUAGGCAAAAUGGUGCCGUAACUUCGGGAGAAGGCACGCUGACACGUAGGUGAAGUGAUUUACUCAUGGAGCUGAAGUCAGUCGAAGAUACCAGCUGGCUGCAACUGUUUAUUAAAAACACAGCACUGUGCAAACACGAAAGUGGACGUAUACGGUGUGACGCCUGCCCGGUGCCGGAAGGUUAAUUGAUGGGGUCAGCGCAAGCGAAGCUCCUGAUCGAAGCCCCGGUAAACGGCGGCCGUAACUAUAACGGUCCUAAGGUAGCGAAAUUCCUUGUCGGGUAAGUUCCGACCUGCACGAAUGGCGUAAUGAUGGCCAGGCUGUCUCCACCCGAGACUCAGUGAAAUUGAACUCGCUGUGAAGAUGCAGUGUACCCGCGGCAAGACGGAAAGACCCCGUGAACCUUUACUAUAGCUUGACACUGAACAUUGAGCCUUGAUGUGUAGGAUAGGUGGGAGGCUUUGAAGCGUGGACGCCAGUCUGCGUGGAGCCGACCUUGAAAUACCACCCUUUAAUGUUUGAUGUUCUAACGUGGACCCGUAAUCCGGGUUGCGGACAGUGUCUGGUGGGUAGUUUGACUGGGGCGGUCUCCUCCUAAAGAGUAACGGAGGAGCACGAAGGUUGGCUAAUCCUGGUCGGACAUCAGGAGGUUAGUGCAAUGGCAUAAGCCAGCUUGACUGCGAGCGUGACGGCGCGAGCAGGUGCGAAAGCAGGUCAUAGUGAUCCGGUGGUUCUGAAUGGAAGGGCCAUCGCUCAACGGAUAAAAGGUACUCCGGGGAUAACAGGCUGAUACCGCCCAAGAGUUCAUAUCGACGGCGGUGUUUGGCACCUCGAUGUCGGCUCAUCACAUCCUGGGGCUGAAGUAGGUCCCAAGGGUAUGGCUGUUCGCCAUUUAAAGUGGUACGCGAGCUGGGUUUAGAACGUCGUGAGACAGUUCGGUCC
rnacentral:rRNA from 1 species